rnacentral:rRNA from 1 species
AGGGAAAGAGGGAGGCAUGCUUUACACAUGCAAGUCGAACGGCAGCGCGGGCUUCGGCCUGGCGGCGAGUGGCGAACGGGUGAGUAAUGCAUCGGAACGUGCCCCGUAGUGGGGGAUAGCCCGGCGAAAGCCGGAUUAAUACCGCAUACGACCUGAGGGUGAAAGCGGGGGACCGAAAGGCCUCGCGCUAUUGGAGCGGCCGAUGUCGGAUUAGCUAGUUGGUGGGGUAAAGGCUUACCAAGGCGACGAUCCGUAGCUGGUCUGAGAGGACGACCAGCCACACUGGGACUGAGACACGGCCCAGACUCCUACGGGAGGCAGCAGUGGGGAAUUUUGGACAAUGGGGGCAACCCUGAUCCAGCCAUGCCGCGUGCAGGAAGAAGGCCUUCGGGUUGUAAACCGCUUUUGUUCGGGAAGAAAUCCUCUGGGCUAAUACCCCGGGGGGAUGACGGUACCGGAAGAAUAAGCACCGGCUAACUACGUG